rnacentral:lncRNA from 1 species
AUGUACAUUUUAGAGACUCUACUGUGGCCACAGGAAUUGGACGUAAAUGAACAGAACAACAAUUUGGGAAGGAAAACCAGGUUCCCCAAGUACUUCACCUGUAGCCACUGGGCUUGGACCUUUGACAUAGCUGCUGUCCUUAAUUUCCACCUGCCACCCUGGGAGGUAGGUAUCAUUAUUCUCGUUUCACAGAUGAGGAAACUUGAGGUUCGUAGAGAUUGAGUCAUUGGUCUAAGAUGUACAAGGUCUAGCAGAGUCCUCAACAAAUAUUUCUUGAGUGAAUGGACUACACAGACCAUGCUCUUUCCCAUCUCCAACUGGUUGUAAACUUGGGUGAUGUUUUUUCCAACAGCCUUUUUGCUACCGAGAAUGUUCUUACGUAGUUAAGUCAUGGAUCAGUCAUAACCUUCAAAAAUGUUGCAGUAAUGAAAAACACAAAAAAAGUGGCUGGACAAGGAAAUGCCUUUGCUACUUUAUUUACCCCAAAAUAGAAAAGCUACUUAAAAGAUUAUGACUGAUUGAGAAAUGAGAUUUGGUUGGACAAAAGCACUUGAAGCUCGAGUUGCUAACAUUUCCAUCAAGGACCUCCCUGAGAGUCAGAAUUGAUGUGGGGAUUGUUUUAGUUUUGUUGUUAAUAAUAUCUGGAUGAAAAUGCCUGCCAAAACAUUUCACUGGAGGAUUUACAAUAUGCUUUCCAAAUCUACAACUGAAGGGCAGCUGCUGAUGUCAAUGUGUGCGUGUUGGCAUUCUCCAGUUCGUCUGGAUGAAUGAAAAAUAACUGAUUGUGUCCUCAAGAACACUGUGUAUUCUUGAUACUUAUAAGUCUCAGUCUAAUUUGUGUUCUUCUUGUAAUUAUUCUAGUCAAAAAGAGAAUGGUGCAAAUAAUAAUUUAAGGUAAUGAAGGAAUAGGUCACUAGACUCCAGGUUCCUUGUGGGCGGGGAUUGGGUCUUAUUUAAAUUUCCAAGAUUCAUUUUAGAAGAUUAACCCAAUGCUUGGCACACAAAGUGAGCUAAAUAAAUUCUUGCUGAAUUAUGUUGAAUUGCA